rnacentral:rRNA from 1 species
UACAGAGGUCCCAAGCGUUGUUCGGAUUCACUGGGCGUAAAGGGUGCGUAGGCGGUCGGGUAAGUCUGGCGUGAAAUCUCCAAGCCUAACUUGGAAACUGCGUUGGAUACUAUCCGGCUCGAGGAAUGGAGGGGAGACUGGAAUACUUGGUGUAGCAGUGAAAUGCGUAGAUAUCAAGUGGAACACCAGUGGCGAAGGCGAGUCUCUGGACAUUUCCUGACGCUGAGGCACGAAAGCCAGGGGAGCGAACGGG